rnacentral:rRNA from 1 species
GACGAACGCUGGCGGCGUGCUUAACACAUGCAAGUCGAACGGAAAGGCCCUGCUUUUGUGGGGUGCUCGAGUGGCGAACGGGUGAGUAACACGUGAGUAACCUGCCCUUGACUUUGGGAUAACUUCAGGAAACUGGGGCUAAUAUCGGAUAGGAGCUCCUGCUGCAUGGUGGGGGUUGGAAAGUUUCGGCGGUUGGGGAUGGACUCGCGGCUUAUCAGCUUGUUGGUGGGGUAGUGGCUUACCAAGGCUUUGACGGGUAGCCGGCCUGAGAGGGUGACCGGCCACAUUGGGACUGCGAUACGGCCCAGACUCCUACGGGAGGCAGUAGUGGGGAAUAUUGCACAAUGGGCGGACGCCUGAUGCAGCAACGCCGCGUGCGGGAUGCCGGCCUUCGGGUUGUAAACCGCUUUCGCCUGUGACGAAGCGGGAGUGACGGUAAUGGGUAAAGAAGCACCGGCUAACUACGUG